UCUGUCACGUGGCUCCUGUGCGCCGCCGGCGGCUGGAGCCCGCGCGCGGCUGAGGGGCGCCGGGGCGGCCCCGUUACUCGCUGCUGCGCUGCGCCCAAUGCCGCGGCGCUGGCCGGGGGUCCCGGGGGACGCCGCGGUGCCGCUGUUAGGGCUGAAGGCGUCGCAGCCGCUGGGGGAGCCCGCGGGUGUCGGGCGGCAGCAGCGGGCGCUCCCGUGGCUGGCCGCCAGCGGCUGGGGCGAGGAGGGGAAGGUCGAGGCGGGCGUCUUGCGGAGAGGCCGGCUGCAGCGCGCUUGUUUCACGGGGACAAACGCCGCAGCGUAUAGUGUCUAGAUCGGGGAGGAGAAAUUGGGUUCCCAACCAAACACAACUGCUCUCAUGCAAACUUCAGUAGUGUAUCUGUAACAAAAAGAUGGAUCCAUGAUCACAUUCCACUGUAAAUGGUGAGUAGGUGCCAAACAGGCGUUAAGAUAAUACAGAACAUCCACUACAUGAAAAGAGUUCACAUUUAGGACCAAAGGUGAAAAGUUGUCUGGUUCAAUAGUGAUAACCAGAGGCAUAUAAUAGGUAUAUACGUUAAAGAAUAAGCUUUGUUUUCUUGAAAGAUGAGCAUAUUAAAAAGUGAUGCCAGUAUAUGAUGAUGGGUUUUUUAAAACCUCAGGAUCCUGAGACCAGCGAUUGAGAAUCUCAGCUUCCCUUUUCAUACAGAUGUAAGCUUUUCCUUCUCUCCCUGGCAAGGUAAAGUCUGACCAGAGGUCACAAUCUAGGCUUUGAAAGUGGAGCUGAAAUAACAGAAGAACACUGAAUAUUUCCAAUAUAGUUAGUAGCUAAUAUUUGAUCUUUAAAGGAUUGGUAAUAAUGCUUAAAUCUAGUUUUGACAAUUGUUUACACAAGGGAAGUCUUCCAACUUUUUUGAAGACUCAUCAAAAUCUCCUACAUUUGCUCUCAUUUCAGUAGCAGAGUAUAGAUUUGUUAGUUUGCUACGUCUUCACUGUCAGUAAGGU
rnacentral:lncRNA from 1 species